AAACAGAGUAUAGUGUUGAUGAAUCUGGGAGUGAGGAAUUCUGACUGAGUUUUAAUGAGACGGAAGUGAAGGAGAAAGCAAAACUACUCACACAUCUCGCUUAGAUUACUAAAACUAAUUGGAAGAGUGACUAAAAAGAUGCCCUUACACAACACUUUAACUGGAAAUCACGAGCAACUUUUUGGCCUUUGCUAACAGUUCCAGAUGUUUUAAACUUCCGUGUGCAGUUAUUUAGAAAUCUGCUCAGCCUUUUCUGUAUUUAGUGACUUGUCAAAUAACAGUGAAGACGAUGAUAACAGCUGCAUGCCCCUACACGCAGCGUUCCAGGAGUGAGAGUUAAGGGAACUCUUUUUCCAUACAGUUGGGAAAGUGAUUGUGCGUCACAAGGACUAGUCGCUCCCUUUUUUUCUUUUUCUUUUUUGCACAAUCACAUACGAUAAUGACCUAAAAAGACUUAUUAAUAAAGAGAUAGUUCCCAUAUGGAUUUAACAAUGCAUGGACUGUACACAGUGCAGCAGAUUUUCUCAGCCACCAUGUUGCUGCAGUUCAUCCUAGGACAAUGCAUGUGACUGUGUGAAUGCACUGAGCUCAGAGGGGGUGAAACAGGGGAAUAGUGGGAGGAGAGGCCUGAUAGGAGACCUCCUGUCAGCACUAAUGUGCAUCAUGGCAGUGCUUGCUAGUAAUAUGGAAUAUGAGAGGUUAAAACUAUUCUGGGUACUAAUGAAAAGAAAAAAGAAAACCGUCAUAACCGGUUCUGAUCCCUUCACAAACUGAUGGAAUUUUUUUUUUUUUUACCUAUAAGGAAAAAGCAAGCUAUAUAUCUCAAUGUGUUCCCCCUGCAGUGCUUACGGGGACAACACAUGCAUGUGCGUGUCUGUUAGGGAAGUUUUGUAACGCGGAUGCUACCAACUGUGUCUUUACAUUUUUUGUUUGUUUGUUUUAGUCUUUUGAGCGGAAAAUUAGAUUAUACUGCUGUAGGGAUGCAAAUGAGUGACGUAAUCAUGAUCUGCCUUCAACUGAUAGAUAAGUGUUCAUCUUAAGAACAAGUAUACAGGCAUACAUUUAGACAAAAACACUUUAGCUUCUGUUUUUACACUUGGAUACAUCAAACUUUGUUCUAAGUUGGUAGAAUCUGAGCACAUUGUUACAGCUUUGGGAUCAUUUUGAGAGUAGAGAUAAUAAAAGAUGCAUGUUACAUGUUAUUAUGUGUGCUUAACUUGAUAGAAUCUUGGGAAUGUGCGCAAAUACCACAGCUGUUGUAUGUCCAGGCUGCUAAGCUGGUUUUGCUUAGUUUUGUAAACAGAACAAAUCAGUUUCAGUUUUAGGUGUGGUGCUCAUAACGUAUAAUUUUAUAGAAGAGAUCAAGCAUUGCAGUCUGAAUGACAAGAGACUGCCAUCAUUAUAACUAAUAACAAGAGAGUGUUACGUUUGCAAAUACAUACGUCAC
ensembl:lncRNA